CUCCAAAUCAACAAGGCGACUUGUGUUGAACAGCGCAAUGAAGUUGCUGCUCUUGGCUUUCAGCCUUUUCCUGCUCCUCGCAGUCGGUGCGGGGGACCGUUUCCAUGACAUUCGUCAAAUUCACAUGGUUUUCUCCCAUAAUUUGGAAGCCAAGAGAUAUCGCACCCCGGCGCGCCACCCUGGUGUGAUUGGCCAGUUAGACAGACAUGGCGACAACCUCCGCCGGCGCAUCCGCCUUCCUUCCACAGUGGAUUAGACGUGAGACUCAGUCAUACUCCAGUGGACCAAAGCGGCAGGAGUGCAUCAGGUCUGAAUGCCGUCAAGAAUCCCCCAGCAUUCAUUAAUUUGAGUUCACUUGCAAAGCAU